AGCUCUCCCAAAAUACAAUUUGGUUGCCAAGACAAUUGUUGUAAGUCUAAGUCAGUUAAUGUCCUCACUAAACAAGAAGAACAAGAAGAGUUAUUAAUUGAUUUAAUUAGCAAAGUAGAAAAUCCUGAGUUAAAAUUCGAAUAUCUGAAAAAGUUAAGAAAGGUCAUCAAUCAAGAAGAAUCAAGACAGUCUACCUCUCAAAAGAUAAGUUUGAACACAACUUUAGAAAAAUUUCAUAAAAAGAAGGAAGUUAAGCUACAAGAUUUGCAAUCAGAAGUAAAGGUAGUCAAGAAGGAAAUUUUAGAACUUAGGCAAAUAAGUCAAAAGUUACAGGUUGAAAAUUAUAAAAUAAAACAAAAUUUGAGUCACCUCCUGGAAAAAGAUGAUGCAUCCAAAGGUUUGCCUGAGAGUCCAACAAAUUCAGAGGACAAGUCCCAUGAACCUCCUAACCAAGAAUCAACUGUCAAUUUAAUUAAACAAGUCAUAUAUAUAUAUAUAUAUAUAUAU
rnacentral:lncRNA from 1 species